rnacentral:rRNA from 1 species
AUUGAACGCUGGCGGCAGGCCUUACACAUGCAAGUCGAACGGAUGCAGGGAGCUUGCCCCGGGAGUCAGCGGCGGACGGGUGAGUAAUGCCUAGGAAUCUGCCUGGUAGUGGGGGAUAACGCCCGGAAACGGGCGCUAAUACCGCAUACGACCUGAGGGAGAAAGCGGGGGAUCGUCGGACCUCACGCUAUCAGAUGAGCCUAGGUCGGAUUAGCUAGUUGGUGGGGUAAAGGCCUACCAAGGCGACGAUCCGUAACUGGUCUGAGAGGACGACCAGUCACACUGGAACUGAGACACGGCCCAGACUCCUACGGGAGGCAGCAGUGGGGAAUAUUGGACAAUGGGCGCAAGCCUGAUCCAGCCAUGCCGCGUGUGUGAAGAAGGUCUUCGGAUUGUAAAGCACUUUAAGUUGGGAGGAAGGCCAGUAAGUUAAUACCUUGCUGUUUUGACGUUACCAACAGAAUAAGCACCGGCUAACUUCGUG